rnacentral:lncRNA from 1 species
AGGAGGGCAGAAUAGUAAGGAGGCUUCAAACCUGACUGAAGCAAAGUUUAGCACUUUGUUUUCAGAACAUUUCAGCAGUAAGUUAUCCAUAUAGUUUUUUUCCUAUUUUUUAAAAUGGCUUUAAAAUCACACUUUCCUCUAGAACAACAGAACUUAAUUAAGAGAAUAUCAAAGCCAAACACAAGAUCCAUGAUUCAAAGGCCUCAUUUUUCAACAGGCUUUUCUCCUGACAUCAAAUUUUUUAACCUUUCCCCAGCCACUGGUGAUCGGAACUGUAACUUUUCCCAGAAGAAGAGCUGGCACUAAAUUUGAAAAUGUUUCAUUUUGCAUGAUGGAAAAAAGAAGUAAACCGCUGUGCUUCCUUUGCUGAUACUUGCUCAAAGCUUUUUCUAUUUAUUUCCAGCUUGCUUGCUUCCCUGGCAAAGUGGAAGUCAGAAGCCACCAGGCAGAGUGACCCUCUCACAGACCACUUAUCUUCACAGGAAACUGUUUCGGGAUUAGAGGGAAGUUAUGCAAGGUCUGCUGGAUGAUAUCAGCACAUCUGGACAGCUCAGCAACUGGGGAGUUUUGAGGAAAGAGAAGACAAACAGAGAAGAAACUCGGGGUUUUCUCAGCUUAGGGCAGGCACAAGGAUGCCGGCAUUUCAGGUCUCAGCCUGCCACUAGUGGUCCUCUGCUUGCAAGCCUGUCCCCAUGCCCCAGCUGAUAGCCUUGUGUUGCUGCCUGGAGGAACUUGACCGGGGGUCCUGCCAAGCCUGGGAGAUGCUACCUUCAACUGGUGAAGAGGAAAUCCCAUCCAGCAGGUAUUAGUAUCUUUUCUCACAAUGGAUCUUCCCUUACACCUCUAGCGUCAAGGUGUAAUCUAUGGUUUCAAACUGGUUAAGAGACCAUAGUGCCCAUGACUGCAAAGCAGGACUCGGUGUUUUCUCAUCUAUGCUUGUUCUGAUCCUUCAAUGAAACUUCAAAGACUCACUCAUGUUGCUGAAUUUUGCUUAGCAGCAAUGAAUUGUCCCUUCGACUUGAUAUACACCCGAUUUUAUGGUUUGCGAUUGACUUGGUGACCGUUCCCCAAGCCUCUCAGUGGCAGUACUUGUAGUGUGGCAAACACAUAAAUCAUGGCAGGUUUCAGGCUUGGACUUUAAGAUAGAAACUCUCCCUUAGAAAAUGUGUUGAAAAUACU